UUAGGAUUGAGGGCUGGCAGGUAGAAGUGCCGGAGCUUACCAGAGGUGCAGAUACGCUAGUGCAUGUGGUCCCGUUCCCUGGUGCCUGUGAACGGCAGACAGCAUCAGGCUAGUUCCUACGGUGCUUCCCCGGCUGAGGACAAGUUAUCCUGUCACCCAGCAUACAGCAGUGACCAAAGGAAGCAGAGCGGUGUUCAGCGUAGACCCUCCUGGGGAGCUGAGUGGCAUCGGGCGGGAGAAAAGGUGGCACCAUCUUUGACUAAGCCGUCCCAGAGGUGUGGCCCACCGGAGAUUGAUAGUGGAAGGAGGAGCAAGUUGAAGGGACAUCUCAUUCUCGAAAAGCCGAGGCAGACUGUGAGGCAGGUCUGGAAGCACCAUAUAAGGGCACUGCUGUCUACAAGAGAGCAUCCUUAGUAUAGGACAUCAGUUAAUACACUGUGUGGCAAAAGCUUCAAAGAAGUUCUUAUUGUUGAAUCCUUCUGUGCCCCUUUGGGAAGAGUGGAGACCUGUUGAGUCAAGAAGAGACAAGCAGCACUGUUAGCACCUUGAAAAAGUUGUGUGAACACAACGAAAUGCGUUGGUGAGAGCUGCUAUUCGUGGUUACUCCCUGGAGAUACAGCAUUUGGAGAUUUGAAGACCUGGACCAAGUCCCCGCCAUUGAACUAUUUGGACCUUUGCCGCAGGGUAAUACCUAAAUCGUGGAAAUCUCUUUACACCACUUCAUCAAGGGACUGCCAUAUUGCGGAAUGCUGAACCACUUAAACACCUUGGAUACACCUGUGGUAACUAUCAUUCACGUUUAGCAAACAUUUGGGUCUACAUGAGACUAUAAAAGGGGACUAUAAUUCAGGAACAGGUCUCUUUAAUCAUCCUGAUCCACACGCAAAUCUGGUUGGGAGUAACACUAUCUGCACCAAUUCUUUUCUUAUGUAUUUUCUAUACAUUUUUAUUUUUUUAUUUUAAAUGGAUGCUAUAUUGAAUUUUAU